rnacentral:rRNA from 1 species
UACGGGGGGGGGCAAGCGUUGUUCGGAAUUACUGGGCGUAAAGGGCUCGUAGGCGGCCAACUCAGUCGGACGUGAAAUCCCUCGGCUUAACCGGGGAACUGCUUCCGAUACUGGAUGGCUUGAGUGUGGGAGAGGGAUGCGGAAUUCCGGGUGUAGCGGUGAAAUGCGUAGAUAUCCGGAGGAACACCGGUGGCGAAGGCGGCUUCCUGGACCGACACUGACGCUGAGGCGCGAAAGCUAGGGGAGCAAACGGG